ensembl:lncRNA
CAGCAUGCAAAGGGCUCUAGUACUAUUUCCCGGAUUGCGUCCUUUGCUUCGACCCUGCUUGUCUCUGACCCAUCCUUGUCGUACCUGCACUGGUAACCUGAAAAACCGUUGAACUGUUCCAACGCUAGUCUCGGUCUGUGCUGUUCUUGGGUCCAGUCUCUUGGGCCAGAGACAGUUUUUUUAAAUACAUUUUUAUGUGCAAAUGUGUACACACACCCCCCCCAAAAAAAAAACAUAUACUCAUCCCAGAUGAGUACUUGUGGCUCUCCUCUCCCAUUGUUCCAGCGGAUAGCCCUGAGUCGCGGCUGCAUCCUGGCCGCUCGGCAGGGCGGAGGUCAGCCUUCCACGCCCCGCCAAGACACCAUAUCUGCGCCCGACAGCCGGCACACCGGACACGGGGAGAGGCUAGCUGUGGCCCGCGGAGGGGCGAGGCGACAGAAUGGGCCGAAGGCAAGGACAAUAAGAAACGAGAGGCGGGUAGGUGUAAGGACUGGUCAGUCGUAAGAGACGGAGGGUGUUGAGUCGAAAAGGAAACAUUCUAAAUCCGCGUCAGACUGUAGGUGUGCUGUGAACAGAGUAGCAUUUUUUGGCUACGCAUAGCGCAGUGGGUGUGCUGCUUCAGAUGGGGGGGGGGGGAUUGCCGGUAAAGGGUCCGGGUGUACAGCAGGCUGUGACAUUGGUCCAGUCGCAAGCAAAUCCUCCUUUGGGUGGGUGGGGGACGGCUGCUUUGGUUUUGAUUUCACAGCCAGCGACUAGAUGAAAAGGUGCAAGCUUGGCACUGGCCGGCCCACGUGUCUUCGGGUUUCUCUAUUGGUCUAUCUGUGGCUUUUACAAGGUAAAUGUUGUGUAUUUUAUGGAGUCAAAUUAACGACGAAAUGACUGUGCUGUGUGAAAAAACGAAAUGUAGGUUUAGUUGUGGAAAUGUUUCUUGUGCUGAAAAAGUAAACAAAUCUGGGUUGUAAUUGAAAACACAUGUGCACAAAAGUAGAAAAAUACACAGUGGCAAAUGUUGUUGUCUUUUAUUUCACGAGAACGAUGCGAUUUUUGGCGAUAAAUAUUGAGUUAUUUCGCCCGCUCAG